rnacentral:rRNA from 1 species
GCCAGUGGCCAUACCACGUUGAAUACGCCGGUUCUCGUCCGAUCACAGAAGUUAAACAACGUUAGGCUUGAACAGUACCUGGAAUGGAGACUGCCUGGGAACAUUGGGUGUUAAUAGCA